rnacentral:tRNA from 1 species
UGGGGAGUCGUCUAACGGCAAGACGCUCGCCUUUGGAGCGAGAGAUCGGGGUUCGAUUCCCUGCUCCCCAG